rnacentral:rRNA from 1 species
UACCCUACGGGGCGCAGCAGUGGGGGAUAUUGCACAAUGGGGGGAACCCUGAUGCAGCGACGCCGCGUGGGUGAAGGAGCGUUUCGGCGCGUAAAGCCCUAUCGGCAGGGAAGAAGAUGACGGUACCUGACCAAGAAGCCCCGGCUAACUACGUGCCAGCAGCCGCGGUAAUACGGAGGAUGCGAGCGUUAUCCGGAUUUAUUGGGUUUAAAGGGUGCGUAGGCGGACAGUCAAGUCAGCGGUAAAAAUGCGGUGCUCAACGCCGUACAGCCGUUGAAACUGGCAGUCCUGAGUGGGCGAGAAGG